rfam:Myotis davidii contig146253, whole genome shotgun sequence.
GCCGGUGUGGCUCAGUGGCUAGAGCGUUGGCCUGUGGACCAAAGGAUCCCGGAUUCGAUUCCGGUCAAGGGCA